CCCUUAGAUGUUCUGGGCGGCCCGCGCACUACAAUGGCGUGUGCAGCGAGUGCCGAAGUAGAGUUUUCCGAGGUAUUCUUGCAAUGCUCGUUUUGAUGGGGAUAGACCCUUGCAACUGUUGGUUUUGAACGAGGAAUUCCUUGUAAGCAUGGUUUAUCAUCCGACGCUGAAUGCGUCCCUGCCCUUUGUACACACCGCCCGUCGCUCCUACCGAUGAGUCGUCCGGUGAAGUUCGUAGACCUCGUGAUCGCGGAUCACUGGGGGAAGCAAAAUGAACCUCGCGGUUUAGAGGAAGGAGAAGUCGUGACA
rnacentral:rRNA from 1 species